rnacentral:rRNA from 1 species
GGGCUGCAGUGAGGAAUAUUGCGCAAUGGGGGAAACCCUGACGCAGCGACGCCGCGUGGAUGAUGAAGGCCUUCGGGUCGUAAAAUCCUGUCAGGUGGAAAGAAAUGUAGUAUGCCUAAUACGUGUACUAUUUGACGGUACCACCAAAGGAAGCACCGGCUAACUCCGUGCCAGCAGCCGCGGUAAUACGGAGGGUGCAAGCGUUGUUCGGAAUUACUGGGCGUAAAGCGCGCGUAGGCGGCUAUUUAAGUCAGAUGUGAAAGUCCACGGCUCAACCGUGGAAGUGCAUUUGAAACUGGAUGGCUUGAGUACUGGAGGGGGUGGUGGAAUUCCCGGUGUAGAGGUGAAAUUCGUAGAUAUCGGGAGGAAUACCGGUGGCGAAGGCGACCACCUGGCCAGAUACUGACGCUGAGGUGCGAAAGCGUGGGGAGCAAACAGGAUUAGAUACCCCUGUAGUC